GUACAAGCGCCCUUGGAUCGGUGUGCGUUCGAUUAGCUAGUUGGGCGGGGUAACCGGCCCAACCGAAGGUCCUUCGAUCGAGUAGGGGGUGUGAGAGCAUGACCCCCCCACACGGGUACUGAGACACGGACCCCGACUCCCUACGGGAGGCAGCAGUAAGGAAUAUUGGACAGUGGGCGGAAGCCCUGAUCCAGCCAUGCCGCGUGAAGGACGAAGGCGCUCAGCGUUGUAAACUUCUUUUGGAUGGGAACAAUAACUCCGACUUGUCGGAACUUGAGGGUACCAUCAGAAUAAGCACCGGCUAACUCCGUG
rnacentral:rRNA from 1 species